rnacentral:rRNA from 1 species
UACGGGGGGGGCAAGCGUUGUUCGGAAUUACUGGGCGUAAAGGGCUCGUAGGCGGCCAACUAAGUCAGACGUGAAAUCCCCAGGCUUAACCUGGGAACUGCAUUUGUGACUGCAAGGCUAGAGUGUGUCAGAGGGAGGUGGAAUUCCGCGUGUAGCAGUGAAAUGCGUAGAGAUGCGGAGGAACACCGAUGGCGAAGGCAGCCUCCUGGGAUAACACUGACGCUCAUGCACGAAAGCGUGGGGAGCAAACAGG